GACGAACCGUGCGAACGUUAUUCGGAAUCACUGGGCUUAAAGCGCGUGUAGGCGGGUGACCGCGUCGACGGCUGAAAGCCCCCGGCUCAACCGGGGAAGCGGCCUCGAAACGGGUUGCCUGGAGGGGAGUAGGGGGGACCUGGAACUUCCGGUGGAGCGGUGAAAUGCGUUGAGAUCGGAAGGAACGCCCGUGGCGAAAGCGAGGUCCUGGGCUCUCACUGACGCUGAGACGCGAAAGCCAGGGGAGCGAACGGG
rnacentral:rRNA from 1 species